rnacentral:rRNA from 1 species
GAUGAACGCUGGCGGCGUGCCUAAUACAUGCAAGUCGAGCGAACAGACGAGGAGCUUGCUCCUCUGACGUUAGCGGCGGACGGGUGAGUAACACGUGGAUAACCUACCUAUAAGACUGGGAUAACUUCGGGAAACCGGAGCUAAUGCCGGAUAAUAUAUUGAACCGCAUGGUUCAAUAGUGAAAGACGGUUUUGCUGUCACUUAUAGAUGGAUCCGCGCCGCAUUAGCUAGUUGGUAAGGUAACGGCUUACCAAGGCGACGAGGCGUAGCCGACCUGAGAGGGUGAUCGGCCACACUGGAACUGAGACACGGUCCAGACUCCUACGGGAGGCAGCAGUAGGGAAUCUUCCGCAAUGGGCGAAAGCCUGACGGAGCAACGCCGCGUGGGUGAUGAAGGUCUUCGGAUCGUAAAACUCUGUUAUUAGGGAAGAACAAAUGUGUAAGUAACUAUGUACGUCUUGACGGUACCUAAUCAGAAAGCCACGGCUAACUACGUGCCAGCCGCCGCAGUAA